UAUUUAUAACUAAACAAUUUUUCUUGUAUUAAUUAUUAAUCAUUAUAUUAUAACUUUUUGUAUCGACAUAUUAUAUUUAACUUUUGUUCAUAAAAAACUCAUAAUUUAGUUAAAUAAAUUUUCUUCCCUUAUCGUUUCAAAAGAUGCUGAAAAAUAUGUUACCGGAAAUGUUUUAAGAAGUUUUAACAAAUGGAACAAAUCAUUGAAAUCAAUAAAUGAAAUCGUACAAAAAAGUGAUUUAAAGCAAAAAUACGGAGAGAAACAACAAACCAACUUGGUUAACAUAUUACAGGUUAAAGACGUUACUGAAUUUAUGGAAAAUGUACUUGAACUCCAAAAUCCUAUGAACAGAAAAGAAUCAAACUUAGUAAUUUUAAAUCACGGCGGGUCGUGGUUUAAAUUUGCCUAAGCUUGUCUCUAGUCUAUAUGUUAUUUUUAUUGAAUUUAUAGAAAAAUUAGUAAUUAAUUUGAAUUUUUUUAUAUAAACAUUUUUAUGAUGUUACAAUAUUUGAGUGCAUAUAGUAUUAAUAACAUUCCACUUUUAAACGAAUUUAUUAAUAUUUUAAAUAACAUAUUGCAUUUAAUUUAUUAUAACUAACGUAAUAAGUUUAUUUUUAAAGUGCGUUUUUUUAAACUUCUGUUUUAUUUUUCAAAAUUAAACAUAACUUAAUUCAUUAACUCAAAAUUUGUUUAAUUUCACGGACACGAGUAGUAUGAAAAUGUAUAGAUUUAAAAUCCGUAGCCCAACAGCUUCACAUCCCGCAACAUUCUCACUUCCCCCUCAUCCCUCCCCACUUUAACCAUUGACUCAAUCAUUCUUUAUCAUUGUUGUUAGUAAUAAAAAAAUUACCUCCAGAGGCAAUCACUUCCUUUGACCCUUCUCUAAAUGCGUCACUAAUUUAAGGGUUGCUAUCCUUGUGUCCAUCGCGUUUGAUCCCCUACUGGCCAAGACUUAGAACGCGUGCAUGACGCUAACGUGUAUGCGCCAAGACAAUAUGGACAGGUACCA